rnacentral:lncRNA from 1 species
CCCAGAUUACUAUGCACUUCGAUUAACUUUCAGUGACCGUGUCUAUAGGCUGCCUGGUUAAUGGUUUUCUGUCAAUACUGUAAAAAUGCUAACCUGUCUUUACAUCUAAUCAAUGUUGAAAUGGCUCUUCACAUAAACAGUCUAUUCCUUUUCUUCAUUAAAAAAAAGCAAUCAAAUGGGAUUGAACUGAACAAGUAGUUGUAAAGAAAAAAACAAAAAAAAAACAAUAAUUAAUUUUGCGUGUGUAUUUUGAAGUAGUUGUCCUUGAGUAUUUUCUUCAUCACCAUUUUUUAAAGGGCAUUGAAAAUCAAUGUUUCGCUUUACUAUCAUCCAUCUUUAUAAAGUAAUAAAUUAAGUGGAAAGUAUCGAUAUUUUUGACUUGGUUUUUGAAAUUUACAUACUAAUGACAAUUGCACCCUCGUGACUUUUGAUUUCUGUUGCUGUUUACUGACACCAACUAGAGGAAAAUUUCAUCAUCUGGGGACCAUACUUCCUCUGAAGUAAUAAGGCAGUGUCAUAUCUCAGGUAAUAAUAUGCUCAAGAUCUUAGUCACUUCUUUUCAAAAUGCGACUUGCCAAGUGCAAACAACAGCAAGGAAAAUGCUGCUGACACACACCCAGCCCUCAUGGCCCUUGGUGGCAGCCAGCCCUGGGGACAGGACAGCACUUGGGGGGUGGCUGUGCAGCACUAUCAGUCCCACCUCAUCCAAUGUCUGGGUGGUGGUAUGAGAGCUACAAUCAACCUAAAUCCAGUGCACAAAGCAAGGAGCUUUCAUGCUUUCCAUGAUCCUUUUAAAUAUAUUAUUUAGAAUACAGCCCACUGUUAGAGAAGAAAGUUAAGAUGGGUUAUUUUUAGCAGCGUGUGAAUACUUGAAAAAAUUAUUUGCAAGUGUUACUGUAAGCAGAAGAUGCAAGUUGAUUGGACAGUAUUUGCUGUAUCUUUGUUUGCUUUCUGGGAACAUUCUGAGCUCUUCUCUUUGCACAAAAACAUUUCUCUGUGGAAAGAACUCAUGACUGUGAUUUGUUGGUGCCAGAAGUGGAUGGUCAUCCUGUGUGUGCUGUGCCAGCGUGGGGAUCAGAUGGGAGAGAGGGAAAUAGUGUGUGGCUUAGGUCAGGUGGCUGCCCAGUAGGAAUGCUGAUUUUUUGCUGUGCAUGAGGAGCAUAGACUCAAAGUAAUGGUGGUGGGAAAGCAAACAAACAAACAAACAACAAAAAAAAACACCCUACCAGUAAAGCACUGGCAGCAGCUUGAUGAUAUGACUCAUUUGCUGAGUAAUUCUAAAUAGCAAAUAAGUACACAAGCUCACUGUCUGUUUGCAGAUAAUUUACAAACAAGAGAAAGGAGUUACAAGUGUUGAAUAACUUGUUCAGUGCAAGUAUCUCAGUUCUGGUUAUUUUCUACUGUUCAUUCACUACCAAAUAAAUUCUUAGAACAUGUCUUCCUCCUACAUCUUGAUUUGCUUAGGCAGGCAAUUCUGUUUGUUUUCACUUUUGGACACCUUCCUGUUAAGAGUAUGACUUAGUUUAUUGUCUACUGAUGUCCAUUACUGUAUUAGCCCUUCCGUUUAAUAAUGCACAGGUGGAAGGCAAACUACUUUGAGCUGAACAAUAAGACCAAAUGUUGACAGGGCAGCCUUGCUGGAUUUCCUGCAUGCAGCAGUAUGUAUUAGGGGUGUUCAUGGGAGAUGGUGUAAAUGCUGUACUGGAAAUACAGUGAAACAUGGAAUGGCUUAGGUUGGAAGGGACCUCAAAGAUCACCUAGUUCCAAGCCCUUUGCUGUGAGCAGGGUUGCCCACCACUAGAUCAAGCAUCAGAUCAGGCUGCCCAGGGCCCCAUCCAGCCCGGCCUUAACACCAUCAGGGAUGGGGUAAAAGUUAAUGACAAGUAGCACUCCAAAGACCAGAUUCUGAAACAUUUUACUGAGCAUCUUACUGAAGGUCUUACUGAAGCAAUUUGGCAAGUGUUCAUAGUUUGGCUUUAAAGAGAGAUUUGUGGCAUAGCUUAGGUUGGAAGGAGCCACUGAAGGUCUCUAGUCCUGCUCAAAGCAGGUUACUGUGGGCUCUAAAGAGGUUGUUGAGGGAUUUUUCUCCUUAGAUCUUGAAAAUGUUCAAGGAUGAUGAGUGCACAUCCUUGCUAGACACUUCAUGCCUGGCUGGCCUUGGGGCCCUGGGGGGAGGUUUCUUCUCAACUCCCAUCCAAAGCCCUCACUUCACCUCCUGCUCGUCUGUUGCUAGAGAGGAAGGGAGCAGGCUUGGUGCAACAAGCUCAGAAGUGUGUUCUUCCCAGCCCUGAGCAGCUCUGUGGGACUCCUGCGAGCAGAGCCCCAGACUGCCCAAGCAGCACUACACUCUGGGCACGGCUCGUCAGGAGCACUGUACUCACAGCAGUGAUUUUUUCUUCUUCCUCUGAGCAAACAGUGGUUCAGUCAUAAAGGCUAAUUUGCACAGCAGUAUUGAUUGCCUGCAACGUGCUCAAUUCUAGUUUAGAUUCCCCAGGAUAAAGACACAGCAGCCUGAUGUGUUUUUUCCCUCUGGAACUUGAAGGGUGCUGGAAAAGACAAACACAAAAGAAAUCGUGCACCAAGGUACCAACAAACCAUAUGUCAGCUGCAGCUCUCCCCAGGGCAAGGUGCUAAGUUUUGUUUGCAUUUUGCCAAGACAGCAAUAAAUUGCUUGUUUACAGAUGACAGGAAGAAAUGGGAUGUCUUUAAAGCAAGCUAUGCACACAGAUGCAAACAACGCACGGACAGAUGCACAUAUUUGAGCAAAGUAAAGUUAAUGCCCCUUCCUGGACCCCCCCCUUCUUAGGGAGGAGGGUCAGCCAAUCCUGGGGAUCAUUAUGCAGGAUUAUAAAAAUAUUAAGGCUGAUGAAAGUUGGCCUUCUCCAGUUUCAGGCUGAAUGGUGCGUUGCGCCAUUAGAUCAAACUGACCAGGAUGUGCCUCGCAGCCCUGUCUAUGUGCAAAGGACAGAAAAUAUGAGAGGUGUGGAGAAGGACUCACUUUCAUCAAAGUAUCAGUUUCCAGGAUAGUUUGGAAGCCCACAGCAUUAUUGUAUUACACAUUGCACAGAAGCGUGCCUUGUUCGGGUUUUUUUAGUGUUUUAGAAAUAAAAGACUUUUCUUCCAAAUUGCGCUGGGAGGCAAAUUCUUCAACAGUGUAAUAGAAAAUGUUAGACAAUAUUCCUUACUGGAGCUAUUGACAUUUUUGGUAGUCGUGACACUUUGAUUUUUCUCAAAACAUAUGGAUCAAGCCUGAGUGUGUUAUUGGACAGGAAGACCUGAUGAAAGGCCUUCCUUUAUCUUUCUUUGUAUUUUUUUCCCCUCUGUUUGUUCAUGGCUUUCUCUCUGAAUAUAAUCGUGGUUUUCUUAUGCUGCCCAGGGAGUCGUUAUUGCCUUACUAAAUAUUUUAUAGUGCACAGUGCACCAUACCUGCCAACCGGUUAUUAUUUGUU